UACGGAGGAUCCAAGCGCUAUCCGGAUUUAUUGGGUUUAAAGGGUGCGUAGGCGGCUCAUUAAGUCAGGGGUGAAAGACGGUAGCUUAACUAUCGCAGUGCCUUUGAUACUGAUGAGCUUGAAUGUAGUUGAGGUAGGCGGAAUGUGACAAGUAGCGGUGAAAUGCAUAGAUAUGUCACAGAACACCAAAUUGCGAAGGCAGCUUACUAAAAGUACGAUUGACGCUGAGGCACGAAAAGCGUGGGGGAUCAAACAGG
rnacentral:rRNA from 1 species